AUGGACGGGAACAGGCCCGCACGACCACGUCCGCGCGCACAAACGCACGGCCCACACGUCCGUUCCGUGCCAACCCCGCCCGCACUGCCCCAUCCGGGCAAGCCGACCCACUGCCCGCACGACCAACCAGUUCCCGGUCUCCGAUCCAUCCCCUCCCUCGUCUGCCGCCAUCGUCCCCCACCUCUCGAACCCCCGACCUCCGUCGCCGGCCAUCUCUGGUUGCCAUGGCAAACAGAGCAGAUCCAGAUUGAGAACACAUUGGAAAAGAAGGGAGACACGGAAAGAAUGAAUCACGAAGGUGGCGCUGGUGAUUGGGGUUCUCAAAGGCCAGAAACAGCCCCUUGGGAUGCAACAGAGUACAGUCAUCUCAUCUCUUCAGGGCCAUUGCUGCCACUACUGGAACAGUAUGCAGGCCUAGGUUCUUAUGACCAAAACACAAUUAGGGAGGCCCCGUGGCAAGUUCACUCGCAAGGCGCUAACACUGACAAAUGUACGGGCAACCAACUUCAACUAGCUUGUAUGGACAAUCAAGCCUUCGUGCAGCGCGUGGCAUCAGUCACCGCCAAUGUACCUGCCAUCGACGUCAUACACAGGUGGGGGAGUCAUUUUGGUGUCCCAGGCAACACGGGAAGGUCGAAUGCAACACACCAAGGGCCUACAACUACAGUUAACAGCAGCGCAGGGACAUCUACUGCGGGGAGCUCUGAGCGCACGGAAGACGCGUUCCACCAGCCAGCAGACACUCGUGCUGCAGACAAUUUCAAGUCACAGUCGGGAAUGGCAAUCAUUCCAGCAAUACAAACAAGCACCCCUUUGAACACAAUCACUGACAACACUCAAGUAGAAGGAACUGCCGCCGAUACUGAAGUGAAUGAUGAAAGUGACGACGAGGCAGAAGAUGAUGAAGAUGGUGGGCAAUCAGAGAUCAUGGUACCUCAUCCACCGUACAUUGGGCAGAGAUUUGAAUCGUUCGAGGAAGCAAAGGAAUACUACCAGACAUAUGCAAAGUUCCAUGGAUUUGCGGUAAACACCGAGUACCAUAGAAAAAUUAAGAAAACUAAUGAGUACAGUAGAGGUGAGAUGAGGUGCCACAAGGCACGGAGGAACAAGAAGGUGAAAGGUGCUGCGCCUAUCGUUCCGGAACGAAAAAGAGGAAUCAUUCUCAAGACGGGAUGCCCUGUCCGGUGUAAGCUAAACAUAGAUGGAACAGAGUAUGUGGUCACUGAAUAUUUUGACGAGCACAACCACAGUCUCAUAAAGAAGUUCGACCUGGUCAAAUUUCUGACCGCCCACAGAGGAUUCACCCCAGUCGAAAGACAAUUCGUAAAGCUGCUACAUGACUGUAACGUCGGUCCAUCAAGAAUGGUCCAGAUACUAUCACUCAUCCACAGCAAAAAGGGGAAACUGAGUAGCAUGCCCUACAUACUGGCUGACGUCACAAACCUACAGGCCAAGAUAAGGUUGGACGAUGAGGACUGUGUCAGGAACAUGUAUUGGGUGGAUGGUGCUGCAAGGAGAGCCUACAAACAUUUCCGAGAUUGCAUUUCGUUCGACGCGACGUACCUCACCAAUAUGUACAAGAUGACAUGCGCUCUGUUCAUAGGAAUAAAUAACCACAAUCAGUCAUUGCAGUUCGGCUGCGGGCUCAUUCAGAAUGAAGACACGGAUGGGUACGUCUGGUUGUUCAAGACCUUCUUGGAGUGCAUGGAUGGACUUGCUCCGAUGAACAUAAUAACAGACCAGGAUUUUAGCAUGCGUGCAGGCAUAGAGGGGGUCUUUCCGUUGGCAGUGCACAGGCACUGCAGGUGGCACAUAAUAAAGAAGGCCGAGGAGACCCUAGGACCGUUCUUUGCUGACCGUCCAGAGCUGCACAAGGCAUUCGAGCUAUGCGUGGACCACAGCCUGACGGUCGAGGAGUUUGAAAGGAGCUGGAUGGCCAUGGUUGAAACACAUCAAGUCCAAGACAAUGAGACGCUUGCUAGUCUGUGGGAGAAGCGAAUGUACUGGGUGCCCGCCUACUUCAUGCAGUGCUUCUUCCCUUUUCUACAGACUACGCAGCGCAGCGAGGGGUUCAAUGCUGUGUUGAAGCGAUACGUGAGCCCUGGCAACUCAUUGCUACAGUUGCCAAGCAGUACACAGCUCUGCAACAAAAAAUUCUGGGAUCUGAGCUCCAGCAAGAAGCUACCACCGUGCUAA
rnacentral:rRNA from 1 species